UGGGGAAUAUUGCACAAUGGGGGAAACCCUGAUGCAGCGACGCCGCGUGAGGGAAGAAGGUUUUCGGAUUGUAAACCUCUGUCCUCAGGGAAGAAAAUGACGGUACCUGAGGAGGAAGCCACGGCUAACUACGUGCCAGCAGCCGCGGUAAUACGUAGGUGGCAAGCGUUGUCCGGAAUUACUGGGUGUAAAGGGAGCGUAGGCGGGAAUACAAGUUGAAUGUUAAAACUAUGGGCUCAACCCAUAGUCGCGUUCAAAACUGUAAUUCUUGAGUGAAGUAGAGGUAGGCGGAAUUCCUAGUGUAGCGGUGAAAUGCGUAAAUAUUAGGAGGAACACCAGUGGCGAAGGCGGCCUACUGGGCUUUAACUGACGCUGAGGCUCGAAAGCGUGGGUAGCAAACA
rnacentral:rRNA from 1 species